UCACUUCCGGAGUCUUUUCCUGGGCUGGGUCGCUGCCGUGAGUGUGUUUCGGCCUGGCCUGGGCAGGUCCUCGUGCUGCCGCGGCGCCGGGCCCGGGGAGGCCGGGGUCUCGGGUGGCCGCCGGCCCAGGCGCUGGACCGCAGCAGGAUGGUGAAGGCGAAGGUCCCCGCCUCCAAGGGCGCCCGCAGCAGCCCGGUGGCUAAGCCGGGUCCUGUCAAGACGCUCACUCGGAAGAAAAACAAGAAGAAAAAAAGGUUUUGGAAAAGCAAGGCGCAGGAAGUAAGCAAGAAGCCGGGAAGCGGCCCCAGUGUUGUGGUGCGACCUCCAAAGGCGCCAGAAGACUUUUCUCAAAACUGGAAGGCGCUGCAAGAGUGGCUGCUGAAACAGAAAUCUCAGACCCCAGAAAAGCCUCUUGUCAUCUCUCAGAUGGGUUCCAAAAAGAAGCCCAAAAUUAUCCAGCAGAACAAAAAAGAGACCUCACCUCAAGUGAAGGGAGAGGAGAUGCCGGCAGGAAAAGAGCAAGAGGCCAGCAGGGGCUCUGUUCCUUCAGGCUCCAAGAUGGACAGGAAGGCGCCAGUGCCUCGCAGCAAGGCCAGCAGAGCAGAGCACAGUAAGAAAGGAACCAAGGAAAGGACGAAUAGUGAUAUUGUUCCGGAACGGGGGGACGUCAAGCACAAGAAGCGGAAAGCUAAGGAGGCAGCCCCGGCCCCACCCACCGAGGAAGACAUCUGGUUUGACGACGUGGACCCGGCGGAUAUCGAAGCUGCCAUAGGUCCAGAGGCGGCCAAGAUAGCGAGGAAACAGUUGGGUCGGAGCGAGGGCAGCGUCAGCCUCAGCCUCGUGAAAGAGCAGGCCUUCGGCGGCCUGACAAGAGCCUUAGCCUUGGACUGUGAGAUGGUGGGCGUGGGCCCUAAGGGGGAGGACAGCGUGGCCGCCCGUGUGUCCAUCGUGAACCAGUAUGGGAAGUGCGUUUAUGAUAAGUACGUCAAACCAACCGAGCCCGUGACGGACUAUAGGACAGCGGUCAGUGGGAUUCGGCCUGAGAACCUCAAGCAGGGAGAACAGCUUGAAGUUGUCCAGAAGGAAGUGGCAGAGAUGCUGAAGGGCAGAAUUCUAGUGGGACACGCUCUGCAUAAUGACCUGAAGGUACUGUUUCUUGAUCAUCCAAAAAAGAAGAUUCGAGACACACAGAAAUAUAAACCUUUCAAGAGUCAAGUAAAGAGUGGAAGGCCGUCCCUGCGACUACUUUCAGAGAGGAUCCUUGGACUCCAGGUCCAGCAGGCGGAGCACUGUUCGGAUGUUUCGUGUCGUCUAGAUUCAGGAUGCCCAGGCAGCAAUGAGGCUGUACAUCAUGGUGAAGAAGGAGUGGGAGAGCAUGGCCCGAGACAGGCGUCCCCUGCUGACCGCUCCAGACCACUGCAGUGACCACACCUACCAGCCCUGCCCUGCUGCUGCUGCUGCUGCCCCGCUACAGAGGCAAUGUGACCAGUCACAGGGACAGAUCACAUCUCCCCACAGUGUCUACUCUGGUGAAACCUUUUCAGAAUCACGGCAGAGGGGCAUGGCGUGGUGCUACUGAGAACGUCCUCCUUCCUGUUGACUUUGUGGUCUGAGGCCUGGUCUUACUGUCCAUGUGUAUUUGGACCUGGAUGGUCGGGGUGGGGAGCAGGGGCUGCCAUGAGCAUGCCUGGCCAUGCUUUACCAACUGCUGACUGCCUGGGCGAGGCGAGGAUGGGGCCUGUGGGCCGCCAGCUUGUACAGUGCUGUCACCACCCGUCUUCAGUGACCACUCACCCUGGGGUGAAGUGCUCAGCACCUUCCUCUUGGGGGGCCCCAUUUUCCUCCUUUGUCUUAGGGGACAUAACAAGCUCCGCUGGGCUUGAGGGGCCCAGACCCGGUGUCUGCAGUCAGCUCCUGAGACACGGCUGGCCGCUACAACAGGCCCCGGACGCGGUGCACCCCAGCUGGGGGCUUCCACCUGGAGGGAGGCCUGGUUUGCUGAAGGCGCUGCUGUCACUCACCAGGCUGGAGGUGAAGCGCUCCUUGAUCUCCUGGACCAGGGCCUUCAUACUGCUGGACACCAGCUCCGGCAGGAUCUCCUCUGCGGGCGGAGCAAGGAGGUCCUGAGACCAGAGCCCCUCCUGUGCCCCUUGCCAGGAGCCCCAGAAGGACGAGGGAAGCCAAGUGGACCAGCAGCAUGCCCACGUUCUCCACCACCUCCGGGUCAUCCUUGUGGAGCUGGUAGGUCUCCUUGACCAGGCUGAGGCCACUGCUGCCCUCCUCCUGCACCACCACCUUGAAGGCCGCCAGCUCUGGAGGAUGGGUGGCAGCCUCGUCCUGUCCCCAGGCUCACCUGACACUUCCACCAGGCUGGCCAGGCCCCGGUAGGCGUUGUUCACCAGCAGGACUCUGUUCUGGCACAGCCGGAUGCUUUGCAGGAGCAGCGCCACCACUUGUUCAAACUGCUGCUCCUUGAUGCAGCCUGCGGAAAGGGGCCCGGCUGCCUCGUACCUGCUGUGUGCGCGAGGCCCACGGCUCCCAGCCCCAGGGGCCCAGGGCGCCCACCCAGCUCACCCAGUAGGGACAGCAGCCAGAAGACGCCGCAGCUGGCUUCCGCCAUUUCCCCAUCCGCAGGGUAGGUGGCCAGCACCUGGCUGAUGAGGUCCGGGACCUUCUCCAAAGGGGCCUUGUUCACAAUGAUACCUGGAACCAGGACAGGGAUGGAGGGGACACCCAGGCCUUGGUUGUGUGCAGGGGGCCUCCCACCCCCAAUCUGCUGCCUUCCUCCAGCUAAGGACAAGAGCAGAAACGGGGUGGGAGAGGUCAGCUGUCCUCAGACAGCUGCGGGGUUAGCCCAGGAGAGGCUUGGAGAAUCGCACACUUUGGGUGCUGGCAGGGUUGUUGGGUUUCCUGGGCUUUCCAUGGUUUGGAGCCCUCUUUCUCCUGGGGCACUGGAGUGCCAAGAUGGGGUCUAGAAGAGGGGAAGCAGCACAGGCUAGAGGGCCCCCCUACUGUGAAUAAAAAAUCAAGCACUACCGCUGUCCCCUGGAACCAGGACUGCCUGGAAAAUUCCAGGACUUUUCCCUGGGCAGGAGGCACUUAAAACUGAGGGGUCUGCCCAUUGGGCAAGAAGUCCUGAAGCCUGGCCUCUGCCAGAAGGCUUCUCCUCCCCCACCUUCUCUCUCUCUGCUCCUUGAUUUUCUUCUGUUGCAGGCUCUCAGAAGAGCCUUUCCCAGACCAUGGAUGUUGUGCUUCGGGGACAGGACAUGGAGGUCCUCAAAGGCUCUCAGGGUAGUUGGGGAGCGACUGGGGGAGGGCUCCCAGCCCCAGUGGGACAGCAGGGGGAGGGCCCCUCACCAUCCAGCAGGAGGGCCCAGAGCAGGCCCAGGCCACUGACGCAGACGUCCCUGCUUUCGAGGGAGCUGUUGAGGUGCUCCAGGAUGUGCUCCAGCAGCCCGGCGUUCUGCAGCUCCUCUGACACUGACUCUGACUCCGACUCUGACUCUGUGGGUGGGCCAGAAUGAGGGUCCCAGGGCCCCUCCCUCCAGGAAGCCUUCCCGCCUUUGUUGUCCUUGGGCACUGCAGUCCCAUUUGACCUGCGAUCUGGGGGGUGCCUGCUCUGGACCAAGUCAUGUGCACUCAACGGAGCCCUGAACAGGAGGACAUGGGACUGGCCCCAGAGAAGUCUGUCCAUCUCGUGGGCCACCAGUCCCAAUAGCUGCCAUCCUACUACCAGGCUGGGUCUGACCUCUGUAGCUUCCUAUCCAGGGGGCCUGGCCCUGCCUCCUGGGCCCACAGAGCCGGACUGUGCCUUCCAGGAUGGAACCGUGACGGGGCCCUAUCCUGGUAGGAUGAACUGACAUCCAUUUUGCCUAAUGGUGCCAUUUGACAUCUAUUCCUAGUGCCUCCUUUCACUCCCAAAAGUGAUAUCAGUUGUGUAUGAUCAGCUGUCCAGUCUAUGCAGUGAAGAGGGUGCUGGGACCCAGCCCGGACCCCCGCUGCACGGUAUCCCUGGUGGCUGUCCUUAGGCUCUCUCAAGGCCCAGCUUCCUGUUGGGGAGAACAGUGCCCACCCGAUUUGUGGGUGAGGCUGUGAACGCUCUGUGUGGCCCUCUCCUUCCCACAGUCCUGGCUGGUGGCUUCGGAAGCCUACUGGGCCCUAUGGAAUGGAGACAGGGCAUUUGCCCUCCAGCCUCCCAGAAGGGGCAGGAAGUGUGGCAAAUAGAUGUCAUUGGUGUGAAGCCCA